GAUGAAGAACGCAGCGAAAUGCGAUAAGUAGUGUGAAUUGCAGAAUUCCGUGAAUCAUCGAAUCUUUGAACGCACAUUGCGCCUUCUGGUAUUCCGGAAGGCAUGCCUGUUCGAGAGUCAUUAACAACCGUUUCGAUCCCUUUCUUUCAGAAAUUACAAAGAGGAAAAGGGUUUGGUUAUGGUGGAGGAGGGAAAGGGAGCGUUUAGCCUGUAAAAAAAGAGGCUGUGUUCCGCCUCCCCCCCAAAAUUGUACAGGCGGUCGUGUGCGCCCACGCAUCGAGGUGUUGUAAAAGCUGCCACGGCACUUUUCACCUGUGCAGUGCGAGAUUGGCCAGCCGGUUUAAAAACCCCUCCAAACAAGCAAAGGUUGACCUCGGAUCAGGUAGGGAUACCCGCUGAACUUAAGCAUAUCAAUAAGCGGAGGA
rnacentral:misc_RNA from 1 species